rnacentral:rRNA from 1 species
GGAGAUACUGUCAAGCUAGAGAACGGGAGAAGUCGACGGUACUCUCAGGGUAGGAGUGAAAUCCUAUAAUCCUGGGAGGACCACCAGUGGCGUAGGCUGUCGACUAGAACGUGUCUGACGGUGAGGGACGAAAGCUUGGGGAGCGAACCGGAUUAGAUACCCGGGUAGUCCAAGCUGUAAACGAUGCGGGCUAGGUGCUGGUGUGGCUACGCGCCACUUCAGUGCCGCAGGGAAGCCGUUAAGCCCGCCGCCUGGGGAGUACGGUCGCAAGGCUGAAACUUAAAGGAAUUGGCGGGGGAGCACCACAAGGGGUGAAGCUUGCGGUUUAAUUGGAGUCAACGCCGGGAACCUUACCGGGGACGACAGCAGAAUGAAAGCCAGAUUUAAGGUCUUGCUAGACGAGCUGAGAGGAGGUGCAUGGCCGUCGCCAGUUCGUGCCGUGAGGUGUCCUGUCAAGUCAGGCAACGAUCGAGACCCACAUCCAUUGUUGCGGCCGAGGAGAUUCUCCGAGGAGCAGACUGUGGAGA